GACAGAGGUGCCGAGCGUUAGGCGGAAUCACUGGGCUUAAAGCGUGUGUAGGCGGACCGUUAAGUGACUUGUGAAAUCCCCCGGCUCAACCGGGGAAUUGCUGGGCAUACUGGCGGUCUUGAGCAGUCUAGGGGCAGAUGGAACAAGUGGUGGAGCGGUGAAAUGCGUAGAUAUCACUUGGAACGCCAAAGGUGAAGACAGUCUGCUGGGGACUUGCUGACGCUGAGACACGAAAGCCAGGGGAGCGAACGGG
rnacentral:rRNA from 1 species